GGUAGUGUAUGUGAGUAAAGUGUCACUGUUCCUAGCUUCUGACGCUUCACCGAGAGGGGAACUUUUACAAGGAAAAUGAUGCCGUUUCAUCCUGUGUUGAGGGUAGCUGCCCGGGUGUGCAAGUUCAUCAAACGAGUCGCGAAGCGGACACCAAAGUCUCAAGCUACCGAAGGCCCUGUCGUUCUCAUCAGUCCGUCUUCGGUGGCUUGUCAACCAAGUCAUCAUAAUGCAAGCAGAGCGUCGUGUAGCUCCAUUUCAACAUGGUCCACUACAAGACCAAAAUUUGUGAACAGAAAGAGCGACAAAGGUUCUACGUGUCUUGAAAAAUCCAACUGUAAUUGUUCUUAUUCAUCUUCAAAGAACGACAAAGGUUCUACGUGUCUUGAAAAAUCCAACCGUAAUGGUUCUUAUUCAUCAUAUAGAAGCAAAAAUAAAACUAAGUCGAGGGAUCGAAGAGCUCUGGUUGCUCUAGCGUGCAGCGGUCCCGACGCCGAGUCGGCGCUUGAGAACGCCAUCAACGAAAUCCUCGAACUUCGGCUUUCCCAACAAGGUUUUAGUGAACGAGUGACGUCAUUCUGCGUCGUCGAUUUAGAUGGGUGAAGAUCUGUAACAUCGUUGAAGAACACAAGAUUUUAAUCAUCGGAUCUGCAUUGAAAAUCUUGAAGCGUCUGGUAUAGUCCACAUCUAUGGAACCCACUCGCGCAUUUACACAACUACUGCUGCUGCGGGGAAACGUUUGGGUGAUGUAACAUUGGCCCUUAUGUAUGAAAUCAUUUUGAAGAUUUGAGACUGCAAAUCUACCAACUGUGAUCGCAUGUGCGGAGAUGACUCCAAAGAGAAGUCAGUCGCGAGCAACACUCGUUUUUCGGCACUUCCACCAUGCAAGAGUGGCAACCAUCAAAGGUUUGAGAUUUACUCUGUGCAAUCCUAGUGAAUUUCCGAGAAGAUUUGCGACACUGAUGGUGUUUUGAAGAAGAUUUUCCGCGUCUGAAUGGGAGACCUCAAAUGAAUGGGAGGCCUCAAUGCUAAAGCUGGAAGCGACGAAAGGAACGAUGAGAGGACGAUGGGGGUGCAUGUGCCGGAGACACAGAAUGAUAACGGAGAAAGACUAUAAUACGAUUUCUGCCAGCUGAAUGGACUUGUGAUAACAGCUCCACACUGUUAACAGCUGUGGAUGUUCCUCCACAGGAACAUCCACAAAGCAACAUGGGUAUCUGCAGAUGGAAAAGUAAAGAAUCAGAUCGACCACACCCUGAUCAACGGUCAGUGGAGAUCUUCAGUCCUGGACACGCAGUACAGAGAGGAUCUGAUUUCAAUAGCGAUUACUACUUCGUGUGGACGCACAUCAAGCUGCGCCUCAGUACCUACAGAAACAGCAACAAUGUAAAGCCGAGGUUAAAUGUGAAACGGCUGAGAAAUUACGAGGCGAGGAACAAGAACUGCGAGGCAGUCAUAAACAAGCUGGACACGACCAUGGAAUAGAGCGAAAACAUAGAGGAGGUAUGGGGACAGCAGAGAAAUGCCUACAUCAAAGCGGCAGAAGAGGUGUUCGGCUACAAGAAAUGGGAGAACAAGCCAUGGAUCAGCACUAACGCAUGGAGAGUGAUCUAUUAGAGAAGAAUUAACAAGACAAGGAUUAAAAGUAUCCGAUCAGAAAGAAUUAAAAACAGAAUUAGAGAAGAGUACAGGGAGAAGGACAGGGACGUGAAGAGGAGCGUAUAUGAGAAGACAAAUGAGGGUGGAUGCCGGAGGAAGCAGAGAGAACACAGAACGCCGCGGAAGACGGAAGACAGAAAGAAUUUUACAGAAUCGUGAAGCGGCUGACAGGAUAGAGUAUCAGCCCCCAGAUAAACUGCAGCCGUAAAGAUUAAAAACGGGAAGCUGCUGGAGAGCAAAGAGGCCAGAAUGGCAAGAUAAAAAGAACAUUUCCAGGAAGUUCUCAUCAGGGAAGCAACAGGAGAUAUCACCACAUGAGGAAGGACAGGGGAUAGAUAUCCCAGAUGAGGCAACAGAUGUGGAGGGAAUAAAGACCGCACUGAGGGCCCAAUGGGAUGGUGAAGCUCAAGGUGAAGCUCGUUCGAUUCACCGCUGAGAACGCUAAAAAAAUUGCAGGAUUCCCUGACACUCCCAAAUGUGCAUUAUGAAGUUACAGCUGGAAUAUUUAAUACUGCGGAUCCAACUCGGUUUCAUUUGCAAAACAAUAAUUGUUUCUAAACAAAAAGUGACUAACUGGCCAACUGCUCGGGCAGAGGAUUGAACUCGUGGCCAGAACAUGCGAGCAGAGCAGCAUUUUUAUCUGGUAUGAGGCGUCCAGCCUCUGUCAUCAUGUCACGAUCGCCAUUGCGAUCUUUAUGACGUCCAACAUUCAAGAUUUGCAAUGUCACGAUCAUGAUCUCGAUCUUCGUGGCGUUUAGCUUACAGCGUUAUAUGUAAUGAUCGUGAUCACGGCUUUUGAGGCGUCCAACUGUUACAAUUUGUGAUGAUCACGAUCACGAUCUUUAUGACGUUCAGCCUUCAAGACUCGCCAUGUCACGAUCUCGAUCUUAGUGGCGUCUAGCCUCCAACGUUGUUAUGUAACGAUCGUGAUCACGGCUUUUGAGGCGUCCAACUCGUGUCAUGUGUCACGAUCACGAUAAUGAUCUGCAAGGUGUUCAGCAUUGUAGUGUUGUUACCAUUACUGUUAUUUGUGUGUAAUUUAUUUUUGUACCUAUUUAAAGCACAAAAUUACGUUUGAUAUGAUUGAUUGUUAGAAGAACUUAUGGUGCAGAUUCAUUUUAUUCAACAUUGCUCUAGGAGUCUAGCGGGUGUAUAUUUACCAUAAUAAAAGUAUAUAAUCA
rnacentral:lncRNA from 1 species